CCCUGAUAGCUCAGCUGGUAAAGAAUCUGCUUGCAUUGCAGGAGACCCUGGUUUGAUUCCUGGAUCAGGGA
rnacentral:tRNA from 1 species